CGAUUGAAUGGCUCAGUGAGGCUUCCGGACUGGCCAGAGGAGGUCGGCAACGACCACCUCGGGCCGGAAAGUUAUCCAAACUCGGUCAUUUAGAGGAAGUAAAAGUCGUAACAAGGUCUCCGUUGGUGAACCAGCGGAGGGAUCAUU
rnacentral:rRNA from 1 species